rnacentral:rRNA from 1 species
AUAGCUGGUUCUCCCCGAAAUAGCUUUAGGGCUAGCCUCAAGGUGAGAGAUACGGAGGUAGAGCACUGAAUGUCCUAGGGGGUAUUGCACCUACCGAAGACUAUCAAACUCCGAAUGCCGUCAUCUUAUACUUGGGAGUCAGACUGUGGGUGAUAAGAUUCAUAGUCGAAAGGGCAACAGCCCAGAUCGUCAGCUAAGGUCCCUAAAUGUAAGUUAAGUGGUAAAGGAUGUGGGAUUGCACAGACAACCAGGAUGUUGGCUUAGAAGCAGCCACUCAUUCAAAGAGUGCGUAAUAGCUCACUGGUCGAGUGAUCCUGCGCCGAAGAUUUCCGGGGCUAAAACUUACUACCGAAGCUACGGCAUCAGUAAUGAUGGGUAGGGGAGCUUCCCAUACGGGUUGAAGCAUGACCGUAAGGACAUGUGGACAGUAUGGGAGUGAGAAUGUUGGCAUGAGUAGCGAGAUGUGGGUGAGAAUCCCACAGGCCGUAAACCCAAGGUUUCCAGGGGAAGGUUCGUCCGCCCUGGGUUAGUCGGGACCUAAGCUGAGGCCGAAAGGCGUAGGUGAUGGACAACAGGUUGAUAUUCCUGUACUACCGAUAACCGUUUGAGAGANGGGAUGACACAGUAGGAUAAGCUAAGCACACUGUUGGUUAUGUGUGCCCAAGCAUUGAGGCAGUCAAAGUAGGCAAAUCCGCUUUGAUAAUGCUGGGAUGUGAUGGGGAGCGAAAUUUAGUAGCGAAGUAGCUGAUUUCACACUGUCAAGAAAAGUCUCUAUCGAGGUUAAAGGUACCCGUACCGCAAACCGACACAGGUGGGUGAGGAGAGUAUCCUAAGGCCAGCGAGAGAACUGUUGUUAAGGAACUCGGCAAAAUGACCCCGUAACUUAGGGAUAAGGGGUGCCACCAUCAGGUGGCCGCAGAGAAUAGGCCCAAGCGACUGUUUACCAAAAACAUAGGUUUCUGCUAAGUCGCAAGAUGAUGUAUAGGAGCUGACGCCUGCCCGGUGCUGGAAGGUUAAGGGGAUCUGUUAGAGCAAUCGAAGCAGUGAACUUAAGCCCCAGUAAACGGCGGCCGUAACUAUAACGGUCCUAAGGUAGCGAAAUUCCUUGUCGGGUAAGUUCCGACCCGCACGAAAGGCGUAACGAUUUGGGCACUGUCUCAACAACAGACUCGGUGAAAUUGUAAUUCCGGUGAAGAUGCCGGAUACCUGCGACAGGACGGAAAGACCCCAUGGAGCUUUACUGUAGCUUGACAUUGGGUCUUGGUACUACAUGUACAGGAUAGGUGGGAGGCUUUGAAACCAGGACGCCAGUUUUGGCGGAGCCAUCCUUGGGAUACCACCCUUGUAGUACUGGGACUCUAA